CCUACGGGUGGCAGCAGUCGAGAAUUAUUCACAAUGGGGGAAACCCUGAUGGUGCGACGCCGCGUGGGGGAAUGAAGGUCUUCGGAUUGUAAACCCCUGUCAUGUGGGAGCAAAUUAAAAAGAUAGUACCACAAGAGGAAGAGACGGCUAACUCUGUGCCAGCAGCCGCGGUAAUACAGAGGUCUCAAGCGUUGUUCGGAAUCACUGGGCGUAAGGCGUGCGUAGGCUGUUUCGUAAGUCGUGUGUGAAAGUCGCGGGCUCAACCCGCGGACGGCACAUGAUACUGCGAGACUAGAGUAAUGGAGGGGGAACCGGAAUUCUCGGUGUAGCAGUGAAAUGCGUAGAUAUCGAGAGGAACACUCGUGGCGAAGGCGGGUUCCUGGACAUUAACUGACGCUGAGGCACGAAGGCCAGGGGAGCGAAAGGGAUUAGAUACCCGAGUAGUC
rnacentral:rRNA from 1 species